ensembl:snoRNA
UGCAGUCGAGUUAGAUUCAGUCCCUGUUGUCGUGGCGGGAACUGGCCCAGAUGGCUGCCACAACAAGUUCUGCUUCUCAUGGGCCCUGGGUCCCCUGUCCUGGGACCUGGGGAUAAGUUUAACUGAGACAUUG